UGAUAUGGUGGUGCAGUGGUUAGCACUCUUGCCUCACAAUAAGGAGGUCCUGGGUUUGAGGCCCGAUUGGCCAG